CAUUAGAUGACUGAAAUGUAAGUAAUGGUCUCUUAAACCAAGUUAUAGUAGAUUUAUUAAUAACAACUACUUCUAAUGA
rnacentral:tRNA from 1 species